rnacentral:rRNA from 1 species
CACCGCGGUUAUACGAGAGGCCCUAGUUGAUAACUACCGGCGUAAAGAGUGGUUAUGGAAAAAUAUUUAAUAAAGCCGAACACCCCCUCAGCCGUCAUACGCACCUGGGAGCACGAAGACCUACUGCGAAAGCAGCUUUAACUGUACCUGACCCCACGACAGCUAAGAAA